rnacentral:hammerhead_ribozyme from 1 species
AUUCAGCUGACGAGUCUCAGAUAGGAUGAAACCCGCUUCAAACUGGAU